AGCAACACAGGUUUACCGAACAAACACCCGCGGAGGGGUACACCAACUAGCGCCAGAGCCCGCCCCCGCUUCCAGACUGGUUAGAAGGCCAUCAUCUUCAUGCAAGACUUGAGGAUGAAGGAACCUACUUAAGGCUUUUAAGAGGACAAGAGACAGCACUCUUCUGUCUCCUAACCACUGUCUCUGACAGUUGCCUACCAAUGACACACUCCCCUGUGUGGUGAUUAUGGAUGUCAGGCUGAGAAUGGAAGCAGAAACUCAAGCCUUCUGCUAAUCUAAACUAUGUGUAAAAAACACAUCUUAUUAUAAGAUCUUGACUUUUCGAUUUCUCUUAUUCACCAUAUCUUCAGUGCCCAGCAUUAUUCCUGGAAUAUUCAAUAAGAUCUGUUUGCAGUGAACGAUUGUUUGGAUGAAUCAUUGUAUUUUCCUGUUAGUGUAUGGAAAUACAGCUGAUUUUCUAUAUUGAUUUUGUAUCCUGAUACAUUACUUAUGCCCACUUUCAUCACUCCUAUUCAACCUAGAACUGGAAGUGCUUGUCAGAGGAAUGAGUGAAGAGAAAAAAUGGCAUCCAAAUUGAGAAAGAGAAGGUACUCUGCUACAUUUUACAUAUCUGCUUUUUGAGGAAUAAAUACCAGAAAGAAGUGGCCUACAUAAAUCCAAAUGGCUUUAGACAUUUCAAGUACUGGAAAACAAGAUUAUAACUAUUUACGAAGAAAUGGAACAUCCUUGCUGAAAUCAUCCUGCAACAAGUUGUGCUUUCAUUUAUAAUUGAAAACACCAAACUCUAAUGCUUGAAAAUAAAAUCUAAUAAUCUGUAGUGGGUUGAAUCCAUGGAUGAAGAACCCAUCAAUAUGGAGGACUGACUGUAGCUUUCUUGCUGGU